rnacentral:rRNA from 1 species
GAUGAACGCUGGCGGCGUGCCUAAUACAUGCAAGUCGAGCGAACGGACGAGAAGCUUGCUUCUCUGAUGUUAGCGGCGGACGGGUGAGUAACACGUGGAUAACCUACCUAUAAGACUGGGAUAACUUCGGGAAACCGGUGCUAAUACCGGAUAAUAUUUUGUACCGCAUGGUUCAAAAGUGAAAGACGGUCUUGCUGUCACUUAUAGAUGGAUCCGCGCUGCAUUAGCUAGUUGGUAAGGUAACGGCUUACCAAGGCAACGAUGCAUAGCCGACCUGAGAGGGUGAUCGGCCACACUGGAACUGAGACACGGUCCAGACUCCUACGGGAGGCAGCAGUAGGGAAUCUUCCGCAAUGGGCGAAAGCCUGACGGAGCAACGCCGCGUGAGUGAUGAAGGUCUUCGGAUCGUAAAACUCUGUUAUUAGGGAAGAACAUAUGUGUAAGUAACUGUGCACAUCUUGACGGUACCUAAUCAGAAAGCCACGGCUAACUACGUG